rnacentral:SRP_RNA from 1 species
GAGGAUCACUUGAGCCCAGGAGUGCUGGGCUGUAGUGGGCUGUGUUGAUCAGGUGUCUGCACCAAGUUGAGCAUCAGUAUGGUGAACUUCCAGGAACUAGAGACCACGAGGUUGCCUAAGGAGGGGUGAAUCGACCCAGGUUGGAAAUGGACCAGGUUAAAACUCCUGUGCUGAUCACUGCUAGUGGGAUUAUGCCUGUGAAUAGCCACUACCCUCCAGUUUGGGCAACAACAUGACCCCAUCUUU